CUUUCUCUCCCCUCCCUAACUGCAGACUGCAGGAGAGACUGAGAAUAGACAUCAAUCUGAGCCCGGGCAGCGGCGGGACAGCCGGGGAGUAGGAGGUCGCCUGUGUGAAAUCUGACAGCGAGUCCCUUCGCCCACCCCACUCCUCCGCUAGCGCUGGAAACAAAAGCCUUGCAGCAUGGGGAAUGACACUGGCAUCCACGCGUGCUGACGGGCACCUGAAGCCAUGUACCACCUAGCAAGACAGCGGGUCUGAUUUUUGUAUUGGUACGCUUGGACAAAAGGCUUUUU